rnacentral:rRNA from 1 species
AUUGAACGCUGGCGGCAGGCCUAACACAUGCAAGUCGAGCGAGCGGCGGACGGGUGUGUAUAGUAUGGGGACCGCCCGACAGAGGGGGAUAACUACUGGAAACGGUGGCUAAUACCCCACACUGUCGGAUAACCCAUAUGGGAUUAGCUAGUAGGUGAGGUAAUGGCUCACCUAGGCGACGAUCCCUAGCUGGUCUGAGAGGAUGAUCAGCCACACUGGGACUGAGACACGGCCCAGACUCCUACGGAGGCAGCAGUGGGGAAUAUUGCACAAUGGGCGCAAGCCUGAUGCAGCCAUGCCGCGUGUAUGAAGAAGGCCUUAGGGUUGUAAAGUAUUUUCAGUCGGGAGGCGUUACCGGCAGAAGAAGCACCGGCUAACUCCGUGCCAGCAGCCGCGGUAAUAC